rnacentral:ncRNA from 2 species
ACUUUCCUUCGGGGUCGGGUGAAAUUCCCAACCGGCGGUGAUCAGGAGGCUGUCUAAGCGCUUUGAACGAUGAAGCGACAUAGCUGCUGCCUGUCAGUCCGUGACCCGUGUACAUUCCAUUCAGAGCGUGUGAACGCAUGAGCGGUUUGUAUACGGCUGACCUGGUGCAAUUCCGGGACCGACAGUACAGUCUGGAUGGGAGAAGGAGACA